CAGCCGCGUAAUUCCAGCUCCAAUAGCGUAUAUUAAAGUUGUUGCAGUUAAAAAGCUCGUAGUUGAACUUCGGGGUCUACCCAUUGGUCAGGCUUAAUUGUCUGUACUGGUGAGAUGGAUCUCUACCUUCUGAGGAACUUUCAUGCCAUUUAUUUGGUGUGGUUGGAAAUCAGGACUGUUACUUUGAAAAAAUUAGAGUGUUUAAAGCAGACUAUCGUCUGAAUACAUUAGCAUGGAAUAAUGAAAUAGGACGGACUGAUUCUAUUUCGUUGGUUUCUAGGAUCACCGUAAUGAUUAAUAGGGAUAGUUGGGGGCAUUAGUAUUCAAGUGUCAGAGGUGAAAUUCUUGGAUUUAUUGAAGACUAACUACUGCGAAAGCAUUUGCCAAGGAUGUUUUCAUUAAUCAAGAACGAAAGUUAGGGGAUCGAAGACGAUCAGAUACCGUCGUAGUCUUAACCAUAAACUAUGCCGACUAGGGAUCGGACGAAGUUAAUUUUAUAAUGACGCGUUCGGCACCUUAUG
rnacentral:misc_RNA from 1 species